rnacentral:rRNA from 1 species
UGUCCCUACGGGAGGCAGCAGUCGAGAAUCAUUCACAAUGGGGGAAACCCUGAUGCAGCAACGCCGCGUGAGUGAAGAAGUCAUUCGUGAUGUAAAGCUCUAUCAGCAGGGAAGAAAAUGACGGUACCUGAGUAAGAAGCCCCGGCUAACUACGUGCCAGCAGCCGCGGUAAUACGUAGGGGGCAAGCGUUAUCCGGAUUUACUGGGUGUAAAGGGAGCGUAGACGGCCAGACAAGUCUGAAGUGAAAAUCCAGCGCUUAACGUUGGAAGUGCUUUGGAAACUGCCGGGCUAGAGUGCAGGAGGG